rnacentral:rRNA from 1 species
AUUGAACGCUGGCGGCAGGCCUAACACAUGCAAGCCGAACGGUAACAGGAAGAAGCUUGCUUCUUUGCUGACGAGUGGCGGACGGGUGAGUAAUGUCUGGGAAACUGCCUGAUGGAGGGGGAUAACUACUGGAAACGGUAGCUAAUACCGCAUAACGUCGCAAGACCAAAGAGGGGGACCUUCGGGCCUCUUGCCAUCGGAUGUGCCCAGAUGGGAUUAGCUAGUAGGUGGGGUAACGGCUCACCUAGGCGACGAUCCUUAGCUGGUCUGAGAGGAUGACCAGCCACACUGGAACUGAGACACGGUCCAGACUCCUACGGGAGGCAGCAGUGGGGAAUAUUGCACAAUGGGGGCAAGCCUGAGGCAGCCAGGCGGCGGGUAUGAAGAAGGCCUCGGGUUGUAAAGUACUUUCAGCGGGGAGGAAGGGAGUAAAGUUAAUACCUUUGCUCAUUGACGUUACCCGCAGAAGAAGCACCGGCUAACUCCGUG